rnacentral:misc_RNA from 1 species
GAUGAAGAACGCAGCGAAAUGCGAUACGUAAUGUGAAUUGCAGAAUUCAGUGAAUCAUCGAAUCUUUGAACGCAUAUUGCGCUCUCUGGUAUUCCGGAGAGCAUGCUUGUUUGAGUAUCAGUAAACACCUCAACUUCCAUAUCUUUUUUUGAAAUGGGAGUUGGACUUGAGUGAUCCCAACGCUUUUCCUCACCGAAAAGUGGCGGGUUACUUGAAAUGCAGGUGCAGCUGGACAUUUCUCUGAGCUAUAAGCAUAUCUAUUUAGUCUGCCUAAAAAACAGAUUAUUACCUUUGCUGCAGCUAACAUAAAGGAGAUUAGUUCUUGUGCUGACUGAUGCAGGAUUCACAAAGACAGCUUCGGCCGACUUUGUAAACUCGAUCUCAAAUCAAGUAAGACUACCCGCUGAACUUAAGCAUAUCAAUAAGCGGAGGA